GUUUUGGGGAGGACAUUUCAUGUUUUCAGAUUUGGACAAUUUGAAUUUAAGGAUUGGUGGAACAUCCGAGUGUGUAUAUUCAAUACUGAUGGUAAAUAGAAAUGUAAGAUUCUGGAGAUACCUCUGGACAAAGAUUAGCAGGAUAUGGAUGGUUGCUUGACCCACUGGAAUGGAUAAUAUUCCUGAAAGACAUUGUGGGCACUAAAGAUGAAAGAGGGCCAAGACUGAAUACAUUGGGAGAACCAGCAUCUAAGAUAUGGGCAGAUGAAAAGGAGCCACCAAGGAGACAAAGAGAGAGCAGGAAGAACAGCAACAAUGCACAAUGCUUUCAAGAAUGUAAGUGAGAGAGAGAUCACAAGUAGAGAGAGAGAGAGAGAGGAGGAGGAAGCAGGCUCCCCGGCUAGCAGACAGCCCCAUGCGGGACUCAAUCCCAGGAUUCCGAGAUCAUGACCUGAGCUGAAGACAGAGGCUUAACCCACUGAGCCACCCAGGCAGCCCCUGUUGGUAAAUAAUUUUUGAUGGUGCCCAUGAUGAUGAGGAUAAUGAUGGCCAUGACAACA
rnacentral:lncRNA from 1 species